CUUUUGAAAGUGAUUCAAUGAUGUUUAAUUAAGUAACUAAUAAGCUAAGGUUUUAACCUAAUAUGGUUAACAUACAGUCAGAUAAUAUCGGUUAGUGGUUCUGUUGAUUAAGGUUCUUAAUGAUGCUCAUGAUGUUGACCUGAUUAUUGCUGAAACAAUGUUGAAUUCUGGAUGUUAAGCUUAGAGAUAGCUUAUGUCAUGGAUUGUGAAGCUUUGUUUGCUUCUGCCCAUGGUGGUUAA